UACGGAGGGGGCGAGCGUUAUUCGGAAUUAUUGGGCGUAAAGGGCGCGUAGGCGGCUUGAUGUGUCAAAGGUGAAAUCCCUCGGCUCAACUGAGGAACUGCCUUUGGAACUGUCUGGCUUGAGGCCGGGAGAGGGUAGCGGAAUUCCCAGUGUAGCGGUGAAAUGCGUAGAUACUGGGAGGAACACCGGUGGCGAAGGCGGCUACCUGGACCGGUUCUGACGCUGAUGCGCGAAAGCGUGGGUAGCAAACAGG
rnacentral:rRNA from 1 species